UAGUCUUUUGGUGACCCUCAAAGGCUUCCACUACUUCAUUUUACGAUCGAUUCAAUAUCGAGAAACAUGAAGGUGCGGGAGCCUAUGAAGGUUAACUAAAGGAACU
rnacentral:pre_miRNA from 1 species